GUAAACAAGGGGAAUAUCUGAUUAUUUUGUUUGGUUCAUUUUGUUUACCUAACCCAUUUUGAUUGUUUAGUUUAUUAAUACUUGGACUUUAAGAUCAAUUGACUGGGAGUUUUAUUCAAUGCCCUUUAUCGGAUAAAACGUUCUAAAGUUUGAUUUUGUUUCGCGCGUUUUGUAAGAUUAACCGGGAUUAACUUUCUGUCGGCUGUUGGAAUCACUAAAAUGUUACAAUCGCUGGUAGAGGGCUCACUGUUUUUCAAAUGUCACUUUCAGAAAACUUAACACUCCAUUGCCAUUCACCAAUCCAUCUGUUGCUUCCACCUUUACAGACCUGUGCUGUGCAAUUGACAUCUUAUCAGCACUCAACAAACGAAAUCCAAAUUGGCGAAUUGACAAUGAAGAAGUAUUACGACGUUGAGAAUAUAUGGUUCUUGUGCAGAAAAAAGAAAAUAACAACGAGGGUUGACGACUUCUUUUCGCUUGGGAAAUGGAAGCCUGCUGGGAAAGGAUAGCCCUUGAUACCUGUUUAGGAGCUUUGGAAGUUCCUGGGCGACUCUUAUGGACGAUCUAUACUUUAUUAGGUUAUUGGGAUGACGCAAGUGCACAGAAAUGCCUCCUUAAAGAUUCCGACGUUGGCAGUCCUUUCGUGACGUGUUGUCCAUUCAUGAUGCAGUCCCGGUCUACCUCCAAGAUGAAAUUUCGAUUGUGUCCGACAGAUGACAGAAUUCUUAGAUUCAACACGAUCAACGACAAGCAGUAUCUUCUUAUGAACUCUCACACUACGAGGAAAGAACCAGUUUUGCCAAUGUCGGACCAUGGAAGCCUCCGUCAAAGACAUCCGGCUACAGACAUGGCCGAACUGUGGCGCCUUUAACGGAUGUCUCCGCCCAACCCCUUUAACUUCAUCGAUGAUGGCCGACUCCAAGAUUUCUUACUUUCCAAAUUCGUCUCCGGUAAGUAGUUCAACGAUUGAUUUCGCUUCCCUAUUUCUUUUCCCCUCCUUUAUUUUGUCUUUGACCAGUUGUACUUGUAACAACUUAAAAGCGGAAGUGCUUCUGAGGCACUUUCUCCUCCACCUUUUCUUUCAUCAACACAAAUUUAUUACCUAUCUAUUGACACAGCUGACGCAAGCUACUAGCACUCAUUAAUACGGAGUUCUGUGUUUAGAAAUAUUGUACUGAAGGGUUAUGCAGUUUAUCAAAAUGAUUAUUAGUUAUUAUAGUCUGACUGAUAUAACAAGAGUAGGGAAAAUGUUUUUCGUAAAAACUGAAUGAUCGAUGAUAAUAAUCGUUUAUUUUGCAAGGGAUCCACUAGAAUUUGAAACGGAGGGUAAAUGAAUUAUUACUUUAUUGGAUUGAAUAUAGGGGGUGUAGAUCAGGAAACACAUUAACUUUAAAUCUGACUUUCUACAGCGAUUGGGAAAGAUUUUCUUGUAGAAGCCAACCGGUAAACGAUCGCACAGAAUGCAUGGCCACUCCUGCUGUAAUCCCAGUAAUCUGCAACCAGAUCUGAUCUCCCUCUUGCAAAUUAACCGUAGAUUGUACAACUACCGGAACUUCUUGCGAAGCAACUGUGUUGGCCUCAUCAUCCCAACUAUUUCCGAUUUCGACGCCGUUCAAAAAAAUGCCUACUACUAAAUAAGACACAGAGGAAGAUAAAGUUGGGAAGCCAAUCAUUCCGGUAAAGGAGAAGAAAUAAGUCCCCGUUCGGGGUGCAGUAAAUUUUCCCGAUGACAAAUCCAUGGCCCCUCCAAUGUUCAAUUUCUCAGUCGUGUAGGAGAUCGACAUAUUUAAUGAAUUGAAUGUUUCAUUCUUCGUAACCAAGAAGUAGGUUGGUACUGUUUGGACGUCAACGAAUCCCAUCUUUUUUUCGAAACCUUCGUAUAUUGAAUUGUUGAAAUUAUUAUGAUGAUGUUUCAUUAGAAUAUUAAUUGGUUCAAUCGAACAGUGAGUUACUACUGUACACACCUGCUUCGCUGGGAAGUUUAGUAAAGUCACAGUAGACAUUUUCCACCAUAGCUGUGCCCAUGACUGAAUAUAAUCCAGUUAAAGUGUGUCCGAUCCACCACAAAUCUUCGCAGGACUUGGCCAUUCCGGUGACGGCCAUCUGUCCGCUACAUUCUAACCUUCCCAGCGUAUAUUGGCCGGAAGAUCCCUCCAAUAUGGUACGUCCGAAGUUCAAGCGCGUGAUUGGUAAUACAUUCUUGUCGCUGAUGACUCCUUCAAGAUAAAAGUGUAGGUAAACUGGAAUCGCAGUUACACGUCACGGCAGGUGAUUCAACACAAUUUCCAUCCAAUCCGCACUGGCAGACGUGGACGCUGGAGUUACUUCCUGACCAAAAGUAUUGCGGAUUUUCAUUCCUAUCGUCCCACCAGGAAUAUGUGAUGCCAUUAAUCUCCAACGGUGCGCUGAUGCAAUCGUACUAACACAUUUUUAUCACAAUUAAAUAAGAAUUAUGUAAUUAUUCAAAUUUAGAAACUGAACUAACUCUAAUCGAUUGAUGACAUUCGUUAGAUAACUCAGCUAAUGCCACAAUCUGUCUCAUAGUUGCGUUGUACUUGAUGGCUUUUGUAUAACAACCAGGAUCAGCGCAAUUUCCCACGUCGGUCUUCGAUUCGGUGUCGUGUAAAAUCUCUGUUGUUCCUGUGGCCAUGUUACAAAAGACGUAAAUAGAAUCGUCUCCUACACCUUGGCCGUCCGGAUCGAUCCAGUACAUUCCGGAACCUAAAGAAGGAUCGGCUGCUCGGGUCUCUCUGCAGGUCCUUAGGACGUAAAUUUUCCCAGAAGGUUGAGUGGUAGCAGAAACAGAUUUGCUUUUGAUUGGUUGUUGACUCUGUAAAGCAAUUAGGAGCGAUUCUUGAUGCUGGACUUUUUCUUCCAGUUGAACGACUUUGGCCUCCAGUUGAACCACCUUUGACUCUAAAUUAUUUUUGAGCUCCAUCUUUCACAAAAUCAGAGCUGGUUCAGUUGUUCCUCGACCGGGAAGCCUGCGGACAAACAUGUCGAGCAAACGAAAAGUAAAAAACUCAAAUGAUUAUGAAAUUUUUACAACCGCCGGUAGAGGAAGGGCUUACUGUUGUCCAGAUGUCAGUUUCAGAGUUUAGACGGUUUCAGAAAACCUAACACUUUUGUGAGACCCGUGCUGUGCAAUUGACAUCUUAUCAGCACUCACCCAACGAAAUCCAAAUUGACAUUGAAGAAGUAUAACGACGUUGAGAAUAUAUGGUUCUUAUGCAGAAAAAAAAAAUAACGACGACGGUUGACUCGAACUUCUUUUCGCUUGGGGAAUGGAAGCCUGCUAGGAAGGAUUUACCCUUGAUACCUGAAUAGACACUUAUUCAACACGAGCAACGACAACCAGUAUUUUCUUGUGAACUCUCACACUACAAGAAAAGGAACAGUUUUGCCAAUGUCGGAACUUGGAAGCCUCCGUCAAAGACAUCCGGCUACAGACAUGGCCGAACUUUGGCGCCUUUGACGGAUGUUCCCGCUCAACCCCGAUUCGUAGUUUCAGAAUAAUACGGUAUGGGGGACCUUACUGUGGAGUACGUCAGUCAUCUGCUCUAAAAUCGCAAGGUAAGCCGUAAAUAAGCUAUUGAUUUCGCUUCUUUAUUCCUACGUCUUAACUUUUCUCCCCAAAUUUA